AACCCAUGGUGAGGGCACCGUCUCAGUAAGUCCUUGUAUCUCUCCCAUGCACCGUAGAGCGUUUCUAAGUCCACCUACACAAAAGAAGAAAUAUCAUUAUGUAACU
rnacentral:snoRNA from 1 species